AGAAGUUGCUUGAGCAAAGUCACAGAUGGUGGCUAUUACGUAGCAGAACUAGUCACAGACUAGCAUGUGGGAUGCAACCCUACACCUUUCUUACUCCCAGUUCUUUGCCCUUAAGUAAUGCUAUGACAUUUGGUAAGUUCCCAAGAAGGAUAAGUUGAGCUCGACAAUGUUUUGAGCUCGGGCGGCUGAGACAAUGAAGAUGUCACUGACGGAGAUGGUUUUGGAAAGGAAGUUGCGAGGCAGAUGGUGAACCACUCCUCCGGCUCUCCUUCCCAGUGCACAAAUCUGCAAUAAACCCUGCUCUCUUGGACUCAGUGAUUCCCUCGGCUGGGAUCUGCACAGGAACCCACGGGCCAGACAGCUUAAACGUUAAGCAGUUACACAGUCAUGAAGCCCUAUCAGCAACACUUUGAAGGAUGCAGUGUCAUCGCUCCCAGUUUACCAAUGAUGAACCAGUCUUAUGGGAAUUAUAUAACAUGCUCCAGGUCCCCAAGAUCCAAGGGGCUGUGUAACGGUGAAGAAGGGAACAUCCUCACACUGUGGUGAAGGCAAGAGCAGGUAACGAAUGAAAUAAAUAGAAUAGGGACAAAUAGUUACUGCUCAGAGUCAAAGCUACUGGAUUAAAGGAUUGCAGAAUCCAUUGCAAAUAUCUUAGGCAAUUCCCCAUUUCUGUCCUGUCAGGCUCCUGGGAAAAUGAAUACCACCCCCUGGUUUUUGCUCCAACUCUGACCCCUCUAAGCCUCCAACCUACCACGCGUGAAGCUCAGAACUGCAUUUCCCUGAGUUGCCUGCAGGUUGAGACUGUCCCCAGGUUCCUGUGGGCAGGGUUUGCAUACACUCACGGGAGCAGAGAGCUGACAACCCACAGACUUACCUGGACUUGCUGCUCAGUGGCUGGGGAGGAAGCCUGGGGCUGAUCUCAAGGGCGGGGAAGUCAGUGUGAACAUCUUCAUCGCUGGCAGACAAGAGGCACUGCCAUGAGUUCCUGGAGCCUUAUCAGGUGGCGUUUGCGUCUGAAGACAGUGAAUUCUGAAGGGUAGAGGCAGGCUGGGGCGUAGGGAUUAGCACAGGGCAGGAAGCAGAUCUCCGCAGGGCGUUGGUUUCUUCUGGGAUCUCUCGAGCUUGGUGAGGGCCUCAUGGGGCCAUGGCCAGGGCACUGGAUGGUUGGAUAAAAGCUGCUUUAGCCAUUUAACAAAUGGCUAAAUGACAUCACUCAUUUUAAAGUAAACUCGUACUGUGAUAUAUAUUUCAUUUCUGAAACUCUCAGGGGCACAUGAUUCAGGUGUUUAUAACCUGACAGGGAAGACGAUACCUGUGUGUAACCAGCUCAGUAGAAGGGAAGCACUGGUGACAGAAGUGAAGGGAACCAACAGUGGCCUUGGCUCCCGACUCUUGCCAGUGGAGCAUCUCCUGGGAUGCUGUGGAAACACCCAGACGUGGGAUCCAAGACCAGUUAGGUCAUAAUCUGUGAGAGUAUCCCAUAAUCUCCGGGAUUGGAAAUGUCUUACACUCCCAGAGAUGUUAAUACACAGCAAUCGAGACUGUCAGAUGGCAGGGGUUCUCCCCAUGGCUGCACACUGGAACCACCUGGGGAGCCAGGCCAC
ensembl:lncRNA